GCUCUUUGUUAAUAAGUGAUGGCGAAUGCUUCAGGAAGUUUUAACGGGGGACCUCCAGACCUUGGGGAGGUUGUGCAUCGACAUUUUAACGGGACUCUAGAUGUGGACAUCUGUACUAUCUGUGUCCUAUGUUUCACCUGGUGGUUUUCUGCUGAGGAAUUGCAGAUGAUCAGAAGAGCUUUCAUUGUUGAACUAUGUCGGCCUAUGUUGAAC